rnacentral:rRNA from 1 species
GACGAACGCUGGUGGCGUGCCUAAUACAUGCAAGUCGAGCGGACAGAAGGGAGCUUGCUCCCGGAAGUCAGCGGCGGACGGGUGAGUAACACGUUGGCAACCUGCCUGUAAGACUGGGAUAACUUCGGGAAACCGGAGCUAAUACCGGAUAGGUUCUUCCCCCGCAUGGGGGAAGAUGGCAAGACGGUUUCGGCUGUCACCUACAGAUGGGCCCGCGGCGAAUUAGCUAGUUGGUGGGGUAAUGGCCCACCAAGGCAACGAUGGGUAGCCGACCUGAGAGGGUGAUCGGCCACACUGGGACUGAGACACGGCCCAGACUCCUACGGGAGGCAGCAGUAGGGAAUCUUCCGCAAUGGACGAAAGUCUGACGGAGCAACGCCGCGUGAGCGAAGAAGGCCUUCGGGUCGUAAAGCUCUGUUGUCAGGGAAGAACAAGUGCCAGAGUAACUGCUGGCACCUUGACGGUACCUGACCAGAAAGCCACGGCUAACUACGUGCCAGCCGCCGCCGUAACAC